CCGCCGGCGACAACACCUCCGAAGAGGCUAAACCCGAGUGCAGUUACUUCGUGCUGAACUCGUCCUCGGGCCAGGUCGAGGAGGAGCCGUGCGUCGAGUGGGACUUCGACAACUCCACCUUCAGCUCCACCGUUGGCACUGAGUUCCAGCUUGCCUGCGGUUGGGAGUACCUUCGCUCGACGUACCAAAGCAUCUACAUGUUCGGCGUCACGAUCG